CUUCCCACUAGAGCCUCCAUCAAAGCAUGGCUGUCCUGGUGCUGCUCCUCUGCCUGGUGACCUUUCCAAGCUGUGUCCUGUCACAGGUACAACUGAAGGAGUCAGGACCUGAUGUUGUGAAACCCUCACAGACCCUGUCUCUCACCUGCACUGUUUCUGGAUUCUCAUUAACCAGUAAUACUGUACACUGGGUUCGCCAGCCUCCAGGAAAGGGACUGGAGUGGGUGGGAGCCAUGGGAUGGGAUGACAAAACAUAUUAUAAUUCAGCUCUAAAAUCUCGACUGAGCAUCAGCAGGGACACCUCCAAGAGCCAAGUUUUCUUAAAAGUGACCAGUCUGAAAACUGAAGACACAGCCAGGUACUACUGUGCUAGAAACACAGUGAAGAAAUUACAGUGUGAACCUACACAAAAACCUCCCUACAGAGAAGCUCAGGACCAGCAGGGGGUGCCAAAGAUCAUUGUGAAGUCACCUUAA